rnacentral:lncRNA from 1 species
CCGCAAGGCUCUUGCCGCAUGCCCACGGCUCAUGAGUUAGCAUAUUUUGGCGCUUAGCUCCUUUUGAUUUAAUGUCAAAUCCCGCUUUUCAAUUUUCUCAAAAGGAACUAUAUCUACUUUUACAUUGUUUCUUAUGACCCAACUAACGAGCAUACCCCACCUUUCCACUUGCACAUAUCUCCUUUUCGCAUAAAUACGUCCAGUUGAGGUGUUUUCCCUGCAGACAGCUGCAUUUCCCGAGCUUUGGGGCGUCUUGAGCGUGGCGCGUGAAAUUGGAUCGUUUACCGGUAUGGAGCGUCAACUGCGCUUCCAUUCAAGGCUCGCACGCAUGUCUCCUUUGCUUCACUUUGUCUCAUGUGCUUCUCUCGCGGGUAGCCUCCAAUCCUUUGAGUAUUCCUUGUUUCUUUCACUCCGCGCUCAGUGUUUUUUUCUCGGUGCUUUACGAGAAGAAGAAAAAUCCCAAGUUUACCUCAAACAAUGGGCCUUUGGUUCACCUGCGCCCUUUGACUCUCAAUUUUUUUAACCACGACACCAACUUGGAGAGGCAUCGAAACCCCUCAGGAGCGUCAUUCAGGUUUCUCUUAGAUAUCACUUUGCGAUGAUUACUGUCUUCCUGUUGAUUUUGUAAAUAAAAGACGACCAGUCAGCCUUGGAGCUCAUCAUUUUUCUAGUCCCGAUGGAGAGAGAGUCGAAGUAAUCGAAAAUUAUUCUGAUCCAAGAGAUUCCAAAGCAUACUUGCAGCCGGGUGAAGAGGCGUCAGCCAAAUUAUAUUCUAGUCCUGAUUCAAAGUAUAGUCAACCCUGUGAAGAGAGGUUACGAGCCCUCGAGAGUGGGGGAGGGAGGAAGGCGGAGGAUGGGAUUUCGACGGCUUGGGCUGGGACGCCGUACUACUACGCGGACAUCCACAAGAUCCGAUCCUCGAAGACGGAAUCGGCGCGUCGGCAGGCGAGCUUGGGGAAGAGCGUGAGCUUGGACACAUCAGACGAUGCCUGGAUGCCGACCCGGGAGCCAAGGAGGACUCCGGCAGUGAGCUCAGGCGCCUUGCCCGACUCCCGACGCAACACGCUCUACAUCCCGGAGCGCGGCUUCUUGGAGGAGUCGUUGGGCAGCGAGCUCCCUUCUGAUGAGGAGCUGGUCGCCGGCUGCCAGCCUAUGACUGGGACUCGCCCACGCGAAUCCUCGACGAGCUCCAUCUAGACGAGAUGUCGCAAAAGAGACAUGUCUACGAGACCGCCUUCGACUCACAAGUCAGCAGGUGAGCACUUUCAUUCUUCAUCUUUAGAGAGGCGACUAGAUUUUCCAGGCUCAUUCUUGAAAUUGAUCGGCGAAGCUAUGUCGCAGGCAAAUAGUAAAAUCAGGCGUUUUGGACGUAUUUAUGCG